GCAGCGGGCGCCGGGGCGCCGCCGUCGCCCUUCUUCCCUGUUCAGACCUUCCUCGUCGUCUUCCCCUUCCUCCUCCUCCUCUUCUUCUUCCUCUUCUUCUUCUUCAUGGCGGCGCGGGGUCGUCGGUCCUGCAACUGGACCCCCGCCCCCCGCUCCUGCCCGAUGCCCCCUGCCUGGUGCCCGGGGCCCCGGCGGGCGGGCGAGGUUGUGCCCUGCCCACGGGACCCCAUCUCCCAGAGAGAGUACGGAGAUGGCCCCUGACGAAUGACGUGCAGACAGGUGCAGAAACUCCAGGACCAGGUUUCUCUGCGGGAGAUUCCUGUGGCCGAGAUCCCGAAGCCACGCUUCCCUGAGGACAGAUGAUUUCAAAGCUGCCUUUGAUGAAGACUAUCUACCACCUCAAGUUGGCGGAGCUGGAAAGAAAAGACCAGGACAGAAGGGAGGUAAAAGUCUCAGGAGGAAGGAGGGAAAGGAAUUGUCACUGAAGAAAGACAUCUACCCCAAAAAAUAGUGAAGGGAGAAGAAUGGCCUCUUCCAGAGAGAACGGGUCACACGAUGAGAAUGAAAGAAUGGGGGGACUGGGAAGAAGAAGUCUCCAAAGACAGGAGAGAGGCUUAACAGCCUUCCUGGAAGAACACGUCGAGGGAUGGGGUAGGGGGGACGAGAAGUGUGGCCUGUCCAGGAGAAGAGGACAGGCGAUGCAGACGGAAGGCACGGUGAGAGGAAAGGAAGACGAGGCGGGUGCCCGCCAGAGCUGGUCAUUUCCACUGGCGCGGGAGCCCCAGUGCCAGGGCAUUUGUUUUCAAUUUCAAUUCAGCGGCUCACCGUGACCAGCUGGGAAACCCCCAGCUGUGGCGGACCGGACCGGAAUCCCCCCCUGCCACGGGGCUCGGCUCCAGGUUCAUCCACCAACGCUUCCGAUUCAGAGGCAAUCCUGUGGUGAUUCCCGGGUUCCUUCCUCCCCGGCUUCACCGAAAGUCCCCGUCUCCCUCUUCCCUGGCUCCUCCUGCUCGUCAGAUCAGGCAACUCGGUAAUGCAAAGCAAGAGACGGGUCUCCCCGAAGUCACGUAAGAAAGCCGCCCGAGAGCAUCUUGAAGAUUUUUGCCCGAAUAAUGUGCCGUAGCGAAAAACACUCCAUCCUGCGCCUUGUGGAACCGACAAGACGAAGAGGAAACGGUCCCAGAGUGGAGAGAAAUGAUGGUGGUGGGUCUGGUGAGCCUCAUCCUGUUGGCCACAGAGUCCCCAACACGACCGGCCCUCUGCUGGGUUGCAGAAGGCAGAUGUCCAGCCUGAGGUCCCGUUGCAGAUGGGGCGGACUCUACGGGAGCACCUGGAGGCCUGGGUCGAGCCAGAGACCCCUGGCUCCCUGGUGAUGCGGGCCCCGACUUGGGUACUGUGGGCCACAUGUGCUGAGGCCAUGGGCUUCUUUUAUUUGUAUUUUUUGGCCUGUUAUGGGGUCUCUGCCAGCUCAGUGCCCCGGCCAAACCUCGCAGCUGAGCCCCAGCCAGGUAGCCCUUCCUGCUGCGUGGACACAGGAGGGUGGGGGGCUUCCUGGUCGCUGUCCCUUCUCCUGGGGCCAGUCCCGGCCAUGUUGGGGAGGAUCCUGUGGGGGCUGAAGUCGGUGCUUUUCCCGGAGGGCUUCGUGGCUGGGUGGGAAGCAGCAUGGCUUAGCAGCAUGAGCCUGGG